rnacentral:tRNA from 2 species
GCCCCAGUGGCCUAAUGGAUAAGGCACUGGCCUCCUAAGCCAGGGAUUGUGGGUUCAAGUCUCAUCUGGGGUG